rnacentral:lncRNA from 1 species
UUAGUUAAUCAUAAAUUUUUACGAAGUUUAUACCUCACUAGAUACCGGUUCUACCCAUUCUUUUAUAUCUCUUGCUUGUGCUCAACGUUUAAACUUGACUUCGAAGAAAUUAGACUUUGACUUAUCUGUGGAGACUCCGUUAGGAGAAACCUUUAUCACAUCCACUGUUUAUAAAUCUUGCUUAAUCCAAGUUGGCACAAUGACAUUACC